AGGUAUAUUUUAGUGUCAGUAUAUCUUUGAGCAGCGGACAAAACAGUUGUUUCAAAUUUUGUAACUACCGUCGUGAUGUCUGCGUGUAUCAUAACAAAAUAGUAAUUUAAUUUGUGACGGUAAUUGUAACUAUAAUUUAAGUUAAAUUAUUUUAUAAUUCACAAACAUAGUCCUGAGUGAGUACUAUUUACAACAAUAUAUUAACUACAAGAUUGUGUGCGAGUUUUACUAGCUCUUUUGUUUUGUGUAAUUUCGCAAUUUUUUGAGAGUUAUAGUACUACUGAUUGACAUGAACAAGAAGAUCACGGCUGUCUCGUGGUUAUCUCGGCCCGCUUAUAACUAUAAAUCCCGCUGAUAUACCAGUUUCACAAUUGUGAUUGUUACGCAAACUUCAUCCAUGGAUUGAAAAUUUUAAUUAGGUGGAAACUCGGAUCUCUUGCCUGCUUUCCGAGCGGACAUUAGCGGGCAUCUCAAGCAUGAGUUCGAACAGCGACAGUUCUUUAGAGCUCAUUGAGGACGGGUCCCCUCACUCUUUGCUGGAGCCACCUUCUCCGGAUUACACGAAUGUCACCAUCAGACGGGCUUUCAUCGUGUGGAUGCUAUGCGGUCAGAAGAACAAGUUCAGGGAUGUGUGCAACUACUAUCACAGAUUGGAGUUAUUGGAGGAACAACUUCCGCCGAAUAAGCGGGCGACCAGUCGUCACUACGAAUUCAACAUGAUCAACAACCCGCCGCCGAAGUCGUCCUAUUUAAAAGCAUAUUUCCCGACACUGUAUCCCGGAGGAUUCGCGCACGCACACGACCAGACCGACACCCACACAAACGAACGCUGCGAAUUCAAUAUCGGCGACUUGGACGAGAUAAAGAAACGAGAAGGAAUCACUACUGAAGACGUGGUCCAAGCCAGCGUUAUGAUCCGGAACUAUUGCAAGUCGCACGCAAUCUCCUUAGACAAAUUUUUGGUUGAGUUCAAAGACAUCGCCCGAAAAACUAACCUAAAAAUUAAUGUGAACAACGUCGUAUUUUACAUCAGGAGACGCUUGGUCGCUGAAGAAUUGAAGCUGGCUCUGCUUUGUCCGCGUACAAUGCACAUGCUCGACGAGGAUUCCUCAUGGAAACACGUAAAAGAUAUCACGAAGUUGAUCAGAGGGAAAAUCCAAGUCCCGAAGAGCCUUCACAACGAUAUGAUACAGAAGAAAUUGAAAAUUUUGACCGAAAACAUGAAAAUUGAGAACGAAUUAGUAUCGAAAAAGGGCAAAAACGACUAUUAUGACAUAAACGACAUUUUUUCGAAUAUGAAAAAACAAGUGACGCCCGUUGUUACUAAUGUUUUCGGAUUUAAUAAUUAUUCUCAGAAGGACUCUUACAAGCAUAUGACUGUCCAGAAGGAUUCUUACAAACAUAUCACUGUAGACGACUUAAUGAAGAAUUACAAUAAAAUCGGCGUAGGCAGCAACCAUAAGUACACAUUUAUGAACAUGACAAAGUUCGGAAGGAAUUGAAACGAGUGACUUCAUUUGACACUAAUGACAUUUGAUAAUUUUAAUUAGCGCGCCAUUUUAAAUAUAAUAUUGUAGACAGUGAAAAAAGUGAAGAGGCACAUGCAGGUACCAACCUAAUGCUUCGGAAUGACCGCUAAAAUUCUUAGAACACUAGAGAAGGGGCAUUAUAAUUUCGAUAAAUAUUUUGUCGGUGAAACAUGAUAUUUCAUAUUCACAUAAUAUAUUAAAUUAUAAAUAUAAAUGUCUUCUGCUAAAUCUUUGACUUGUAAUUAAAUCUUCAUUGAGUCAGUAAUUAUGCAAUUAAAAUUGUUUUUCGCUUCUAGUUGUCUUUUUUGUGUUUUCUCACGAAAUUUGGGGAUCAGUGUUUUCUGAUUACAAUUCUGAAUUCUGAUCUGAAACAAUUCGCCAUUAAAGCGCGAUUAUUAUAGGUAUUAGGUUUUAUGACUAAUGACAUCUAUCUAUAUAUAUAAAAAUGAAUUGCCUUUUGUUAGUCUCACUAAAACUCGAGAACGGCUGCACCGAUUUGGCUAAUUUUGGUCUUGAAUUAUUUGUGGAAGUCCAGGGAAGGUUUAAAAGGUGAAAAAAUAUUAAAGCGCUCGAAUUUUGUUUUUCCUUUGAUGUGUUCUCCGUCGGACGGAUUGCUUUUAUUUUAUACAAAAGUUUAGGUCUUUUAUUUAUAGAUUGAGGCACUACAAAGCCUGCCGGGUCAGCUAGUUCAAAAUAAAUUACUCUUUUGUUGUACAACACAUUUAUCGAUAAACCAAAACAUCGAUAACAUGACAUUACUUAAAGGACAGUCGGUCACUGCAUCCCAACCCAAUUCAUAAUUUGAAUUCAAAAUAAAACUCGCUUCAGUUUGGCGCGUACGCUUGCUUCGUUUGGAUGUUCUCAAAAUGACGGAAAGUCAAAUGUCGACCCCGGUGAAUACGAUAAGCAGGGAAAGCUUAAAAGUGUUCAUCACGAAUAACGUGUUCAAGAAACCGCUGGAUUUCAAUUCUGAUUGUGACAUGGACACAGAGUCGCCAUUAAGAAAACCUAAUCUGCAACCGAUCACCAGAAGGUUAUUCCAUUCGCCGAUAACGAAUGAAGACGAUUGUCCUACCAGCCCUAAAGGCAGGCUGGGGAGGAAACGGAAGCGAAAGAAUUCAGCCGAUUCUAGUGACAGAAUAAAACGGGCCUAUGUUACUGAAUGUCAGCAAAAUGACAGCAGUGAGCGCUGCACGGGCAUGAGGAGACGCGUGCUGAUCAGUCUAUUCCACAAUAAGGAAUAUUUUAUGGAUGUAAGCAGUUGAAAUCGAGUACCACAUUGAAGGCCGAUUUAGUGUUAAUUGACCACCAAAACCCAUAGAUACCAUAACUGGUAUAUACAUAUGUGCUGGUAGCAUCAUUAAGACGAACAUAUCUACUGUUGCUGCUGGAAGAAGCCAGCAUGCUUCUGCGACCUUUAUCAAAUCGUCUCCGUUCUAUACUAAGCUUGUUUUUGUCCAAAGAUGAUUAUCAUAGUAUUUGUAAAUGCUGUGAACCUCACGGUGGAUAACAAAGGAGUCUAAAGAUUAAGCCACUGAAGGCUCCGUGGCUCAUUUGACCAACAUUUCCGACGUAUUCAUCCCACUUCCUGAUGCUUAUGCUCAAUAUUUUUUCAAUAUGUACCGAUCGCAUGAUCAUAUUAAUGAGCCGCGUUAGCUAACUAGCUAGUUUUUUAACCGACUUCAAAAAAGGAGGAGGUUCUCAAUUGGACUGUAUGUUUUUUUUUAUAUUUGUUACCUCAUAGCUUUUGACUGGGUGAAUCGGUUUUGAUGAUUUUUUAUUAGAAAGCUGACGCUUCCCGUACAAUUUAGUUACGCACGGCUUACAAUAAAAUUUAGUCCAGUUCUGAUCAUGGUAUCUAUGAGAAAACCAUAUAAGUCUUAAAUUAGCAUUAAGUACGUGCGCGACAAAUAUAGGUAGAUGAAUAACUCAAUAACUCAAUAUCACGCCAACCGAUUUCGAUGAUUAUUGUUUUUAGUGUAUAUUAAUUUGUUUUGGAAUGUCUUUUUUUUUCUAUUUGAAGUAGGUUUUUGUUAAAGCAUGUCUAUUUACAAUUAUUAUUAGAACUUUGGCUAUUAAUCCUGAAAAUUUUAGGUAUGUGUUUCGUUAUAUUCCUAUAGAUUUAUUGCAGUCCGGCAGUGGCCUUAUGGGUUACCGUGCAUCAAUUGGUUACAGGACUGGGACAAGUGUCACAUUGUUCAGUUCGCCUAAAGCUAAAAAGCUCUGACCACGAAGCUAGCUCGCCAGUCAAGGUCGAUAGUCUGUUUGUUAGUCUUCUUGAUCGUUAAUUAGUUAGGUUAAGAGAUAUAAAGUAUUGUAAUUAAAUUUGUUCAAAGACAUCAGUUUUCAAUAUGAACUUUAACUGUAUUUUGAAAACGUUAAUUAAUUAACUUUAAAAACUCUUAAUUGGGUACACAAUAAACGUUGUAAUUAACUAAGUACUCUUAAUAUCUUCUAGGAGUGUUUUAUUUGUGAUAUUAUAAGUAGUAGCUAUUCUUAUGUCUAUAUUUAAAAAAAUGCUAUUAAUAUAAUGUAAUCUUAAUUUUAAUUACUACUGUAAGAAGUCAACAUGCGAUGUAAUCUUAUGCGAAAUUUUUAUUAAAAUAAAUUACAGAACAUCAUUCUAUAG